rnacentral:rRNA from 1 species
UCAAAUGACUUUUGAACUUAGUGGCGGACGGGUGAGUAACGCGUGAGCAACCUGCCUUUCAGAGGGGGAUAACGAUUGGAAACGAUCGCUAAUACCGCAUGACAUAGCGGAAUCGCAUGGUUCUGUUAUCAAAGGAGCAAUCCGCUGAAAGAUGGGCUCGCGUCCGAUUAGAUAGUUGGUGAGGUAACGGCUCACCAAGUCGACGAUCGGUAGCCGGUCUGAGAGGAUGAACGGCCACACUGGAACUGAGACACGGUCCAGACUCC